rnacentral:rRNA from 1 species
GAAGAACCUUACCAAGGCUUGACAUACACGAGAACGGGCCAGAAAUGGUCAACUCUUUGGACACUCGUGAACAGGUGGUGCAUGGUUGUCGUCAGCUCGUGUCGUGAGAUGUUGGGUUAAGUCCCGCAACGAGCGCAACCCUCGUUCUAUGUUGCCAGCACGUUAUGGUGGGAACUCAUGGGAUACUGCCGGGGUCAACUCGGAGGAAGGUGGGGAUGACGUCAAAUCAUCAUGCCCCUUAUGUCUUGGGCUUCACGCAUGCUACAAUGGCCGGUACAAAGGGCUGCGAUACCGUAAGGUGGAGCGAAUCCCAAAAAGCCGGUCCCAGUUCGGAUUGAGGUCUGCAACUCGACCUCAUGAAGUCGGAGUCGCUAGUAAUCGUGGAUCAGCAACGCCACGGUGAAUACGUUCCCGGGUCUUGUACACACCGCCCGUCAAGUCAUGAAAGUCGGUAACACCUGAAGCCGGUGGCCUAACCCUUGUGGAGGGAGCCGUCGAAGGUGGGAUCGGUAAUUAGGACUAAGUCGUAACAAGGUAAGCGUAGUGCU